rnacentral:tRNA from 1 species
GGGUUGGCUCAGUGGUUAGAGCAUAGGUCUCAUAACCGAAAGGUCUUGGGAUCAAAUCCCACUAGAGGCUCA